GUUUAUGUGAGGAAAAAUCGCUUCACGGGGUGGAAACAAGGAAACAUUCCCGAGAAGCGUUUUUGGAA
rnacentral:sRNA from 10 species